AUUGAACGCUGGCGGCAUGCCUUACACAUGCAAGUCGAACGGUAACGCGGGGCAACCUGGCGACGAGUGGCGAACGGGUGAGUAAUGUAUCGGAACGUUCCCAGUUGUGGGGGAUAACUGCUCGAAAGAGCAGCUAAUACCGCAAACGACCUGAGGGGGAAAGCGGGGGAUCGCAAGACCUCGCGCAAUUGGAGCGGCCGAUAUCAGAUUAGGUAGUUGGUGGGGUAAAGGCCCACCAAGCCAACGAUCUGUAGCUGGUCUGAGAGGACGACCAGCCACACUGGGACUGAGACACGGCCCAGACUCCUACGUGAGGCAGCAGUGGGGAAUUUUGGACAAUGGACGCAAGUCUGAUCCAGCCAGGCCGCGUGCGGGAAGAAGGCCUUCGGGUUGUAAACCGCUUUUGUCAGGGAAGAAAAGGGGGACUCUAAUACAGUUGCCUCAUGACGGUACCUGAAGAAUAAGCACCGGCUAACUACGUGCCAGCAGCCGCCGUAAAAC
rnacentral:rRNA from 1 species